rnacentral:misc_RNA from 1 species
GCCCUUUCCCUGUCAAUCUUUCUGAUAGGCAAGUUAUCUAAAGUUUUCAAUUGGGGCAAUGAAGCUAUCAUGUAUUCUUUAUAAUGCUUCUCAUAGCAUAUGGGUGAAGCAUGACAAGAAAUAUACUUCAAAGCAACAUCUGUCAUAUGCCUUGUGAAAGCACCAGCCAAGGAUUCUUCAUUGUGAUUGCACAUAGUGAUAAAAGGCACCUCAUCCUGCAGAUUGACUUGUCUGUUCCACCCUGAAGAUUCAUUGGAC